rnacentral:rRNA from 1 species
AUGCAAGUCGAGCGGUAACAGGUGUAGCAAUACAUGCUGACGAGCGGCGAACGGGUGAGUAAUGCUUCGGAAUCUGCCCAAUGGUGGGGAAUAACCAGCCGAAAGGUUGGCUAAUACCGCAUAAGUCCUACGGGGGAAAGCAGGGGAUCGCAAGACCUUGCGCCGAUGGAUGAGCCGAAGUCGGAUUAGCUAGUUGGUAGGGUAACGGCCUACCAAGGCGACGAUCCGUAGCUGGUCUGAGAGGACGACCAGCCACACUGGGACUGAGACACGGCCCAGACUCCUACGGGAGGCAGCAGUGGGGAAUAUUGGACAAUGGGGGAAACCCUGAUCCAGCGACGCCGCGUGUGUGAAGAAGGCCUGCGGGUUGUAAAGCACUUUUAGUGGGGAUGAAAAGCUCAGGGCUAACACCUCUGGGUCUUGACCUAACCCAAAGAAAAAGCACCGGCUAACUCUGUGCCAGCAGCCGCGGUAAUACAGAGGGUGCGAGCGUUAAUCGGAAUUACUGGGCGUAAAGCGUGCGUAGACGGUUAUGUAAGUCGGGUGUGAAAGCCCC